CCCUGCCAUUUGUACACACCGCCCGUCGCUACUACCGAUUGAACGUUUUAGUGAGGUAUUUGGACUGAGCCUUCGGAGGCUUUUAGCCUUCGAUGUUGUUCGGGAAGUUUCCCAAACUUGAGCGUUUAGAGGAAGUAAAAGUCGUAACAAGGU
rnacentral:rRNA from 1 species